GUUGAGUUGAGUUUAUGAGGGAAAAAAUGACACAAAAUUCUUCCACUAUGUGACAUGCUGUACAGAAAGACAGAGAGCAGAGAAUGUUUACCAGUUCACCAUGUAGUAAGCCAAAGCGCUUUCUGGACACUGAGGUGCUGUUCCAUGAUGACAAUACAACCUGGAUUCUUGAAGAAAGAAAGACCUUGUUUGGUUGUGACAGUUACACUGUUAUACAGUAGAUGGGCGUUAGUGAACAUUUAACCUGCCCUCAGUAGCACGCAGCAGGACUUACUCGCUGAUGCAUUUUUAGUAGCUAAAAUGAAGUAACUAUUUUCUUAAGAAAAUGUAUGUCUGCUGUGAAAGCUGCUGUGCAUAUUAACUUUGGAAGUGUCUAACAGAUGUUAAUCCCAUAAUAGAAAAUGUUUUAUACACGUUAUUGCACUUUUAGCAUUAUACUGUAGAACUGAAAGAGAUAUUUUCAAGGUGAGAAUGUUUUGUCUUGCAGUGUGAUCUGAAUUUGGAGGGAACUUGUAUUUUUUCAAAAAGGUUAAUGAGAGUAUUCACCAACUGGAAGGUCGAUAUGAACAUGAUAAGGUACUGAACAUGUGUCAUGUUGAUUGUAUUUUUGUCAAAACUCAGAUGAUAUUCUUACACCAAAUCACUUGAAAUGUAAUCUGUGUUUGUAUCUAGCACUGCCAGUCUCUUAUUGGCUUGCCAAAUUGAUUUUAUUUUUGCUUACAACAUUGGGAGGAAAAUAACAUUGAACAUAAUAUUUUCUGGAUGGCUUGGGCAGGUUGCACAAUGAUAAUUAUUAAAAAUGUAAAUAUUAAAGAUAUUAACAUGACAUUUGCCUUAUCAAAUGUUUUGUCUUCAGACAACAGACUCAUGCAGUAGUCGUAAUAACCGGUUUAAGAUCACGGUAUACUGAGGUAUUCAGAGAAUAUGAACCCCCAAAACUCUUAGGUCUUAUAGCCUAUUGUACAGUAUUGAAUUUAAAUCAUAUGUUAUUGCGUCAGUUUAAUAAUUGUACUACUAUGUGGAUGACAGUUGAAUAAUAUGGUUGACUGUGUUGGAAUCUUCAAAACCCUUUAUCUUGUGCCAGUUCUGAUAACCUUCUCUUCAUGCUGACCAAAAAGUACAACAUGUAGCCUCAUCACAGCUCCAAGUAUUCUUUUUGAACAUUCCUAUUGAUUGCUUUGACCUGUUACAUUUCAUUCUAUUAUCUGAGAAGGGAAUCCAACUUUACAGGCUCAAACCAAAUGAGGCAAACUUUCAAUACAAAAAAACAUUAAAUGUUUCUUUAGUUUAAAGCUUCACCUUCUUAAAGGGCAUUUUCUAUUCCAUGUCUCUACAUUUUCAACUGGGAAGGUGGGUAGUAAUAACAUUGGUGUAUCUGAA
rnacentral:lncRNA from 1 species